rnacentral:rRNA from 1 species
AUUGAACGCUGGCGGCAGGCCUAACACAUGCAAGUCGAACGGUAACAGGAAACGGCUUGCUGUUUCGCUGACGAGUGGCGGGCGGGUGUGUCAUGUCUGUGAAACUGCCUUAUGGAGGGGGAUAACUCCUGGAAACGGUAGCUAUUACCGCAUAUCUUCUCAAGACCAUAGAGCAGGACCUUCAGGCCUCUUUCCAUCCGAUUUUCCCAGAUUGCAUUAGCUAGUAGGUGGGGUAACGGCUCACCAAGGCCACGAUCCCUAGCUGGUCUGAGAGGAUGACCAGCCACACUGGAACUGAGACACGGUCCAGACUCCUACGGGAGGCAGCAGUGGGGAAUAUUGCACAAUGGGCGAAAGCCUGAUGCAGCAAUGCCGCGUGUGUGAAGAAGGUCUUCGGGUUGUAAAGUACUUUCAGCGGGGAAGAAGAGAGGAAAGUUAAUACCUGCACAUAUUGACGGUACCCAAAGAAGAAGCACCGGCUAACUACGUG